UUUACUGAUUGUGUACUGGAAGCAAUUUACUGACUUGUGUAGUAUUUAGCUGAUCCAAGGUUAGGCUUUUAAGUUUUCUCUCAUUACACCAUUGCAUUUUAGAAUUUUGUAGCUAAAAGUUUCUAUUAAAUUGGUGCCCGUAUUAGAGGGAGGCAUCGGUUAACUAAGCAUAUCGUCGCAUGUAUAGAGACCUCCAGUCCAGCAUGUCAAGGUUGCUCUGUGCGGGCUCGAUUAGAGGGGGCAUGGACUUUAUUAAGAACGAGUGAGUGCCGUCCUGUAUCAAGUGCAUGUCAUGGGUUUGAUAAUAUCUUAAAGAAUCAAUUUGUACUACAUUAUUCGCUGGAGGUAGCAUCACGAUGACACAGAAUUAAGGACUCGUGAUUGGGAGUGUCUAAAAAUUUAUCAACUAUUCUGAUGUUCCAUAAAUCAUUAGUUUACCGAAAAAGGAAGGAGCUACCAUCGCGGUUUGAUUGCGUUCAUCUUGGACUAAUCAUGAUCAAUUUGAUGAGGCCUCCAUCAGUUUCGUAUAGGUUGUGCUAAGGAUUCAACAAAUUAUGAGAAACCUGAUGUCGAAAGAUAGUGAUAGACCAUCGGAUGAAGUUUACUAUAUGUUUUUGUCUUUACCAUGUUUUUUCUUAUACCAUGUUGAUUUUCAAAUAAAGUGCAAGUUGUGAAUGAAAGAGUAGACAUUUUCUUAUUUAUGUCAAAUUUUGCAACAAAUUUUUUUGCCUUACCAAUCAUGCGGUGUGGGUGCUCACCGGCGCUGGAGCUGAGGUGAGGCGAAUUCAAAACUUCACCCAAAUGUCCGGAUUUCUCAUAUUUCCGGCUUGGAAUGCCCAGAUUUCUUGUUUCCUUGGCUUAUACUUUGGGUCUUGCACCUUUUCUUUAUAGGUUCUGCGAAUUCUUGUUUAGGGAUCCGAUGGAGAGCUCGGAUAUGGCAUCGCAGCCGUUGAGCGACAGGGUCACGCCGAAGCUCCUCCUCGGCUGCACGGAUUGCGUCACUGUCAUGCCGGGCGAGCCGCAGGUAUGAUUUUCUUUGGUUUCCUCUGGUGGUCUUGGCAACAUGCGCUCCCAGGAUUACAAAUUCAACUGCCAGAUGGGCAGGAACAUGAUAGAUUUGGGUCGACAUGAUAUGUUCUGGAAGUUGAUUCAUUCAUUCGCCUAUUUAUCUGGUUUGUUGCCAUCCGAGGGUGGUCCAUGAAAUCAGGUCUCUGUAUUCUUUUUUUUUUCAAUCAAAGGGGAGCUACCCUGGCUCCCUUUCAUAGAAACGAAACCAAAGGUGUCUGUAUUCUCGAGAAAAUAAUCAUGACAUCUGUCAACUUUCUUUUUAGGAAUGGCUUAAUCAUAUGAGUUUGCACCGUUAACUUUUUCACAUCAUUUCUUUUACCACUUCGCUUCCAAUAAUUCAAACAACAUAUUAUGGCUUGUUUAGUUAUGGGAUCCCUAAUGUCCAGAUCUCAGCUUAGAACAUAGAUAGUAGCAAGGUAACAACGAAUAGUUAUAGUGCCUAUUCAGAUUCGACAAAACUGCAAAUGGAAGCAUUACACUUGCUGGCGUGAUGGAGGCUGAGGUCAAGUCAAAAGAAGAUAUGGGCCAUAUGGCCAUGCACUUGGCACGAGGAUCUUCGUCACGCGCAACUGAAAGUACAAACAUACAUAGCCAGGCAAGAUCGGGCUGCAAAGCAAGUUGCUGAUGAAGUGAAGUAGAUGAUUCAAAAUGAGAAGAAAUUCACUGUAUUUAUUUACGAUAGUGAACUUGAAUUGUUUUGGUAAACAAUUUCGUGAGCUGGCAUUACACCUAUUUUGGUAAACUAUUUCGAGAGCUGGCAUUAUAUCAUCCGUUGCGGCUCUUAUUUCAUGUGCCUUCUUGAAAGAGCACAUGUAGAAGAAAAUAUGGUGAAAUAAUAAAGUUUGUAGAGCAAGACAAUGGAUUCCAUCAACUCCCAAGUCUCAAGUUCUUCAUGUUUUCUGACCUAAAUAUUAACGUGAGGUGAAUGAAGAUGAUGUCAUGUCUUGUUGCAGGGUGAUUGAGGAGUAAAUGCAAAGGUACAAAGAGUAACUAAUAAGUGUGUUUGAACAAUGAUAGUUGUUCACAUUAGGCAUUUGCGUAGGUACUGUGUGCAGUUGCAACCCCCACUCAUAUGUGUGAAUUGAAUCUACUUCCUUUUCUUCCUGUUCAAAUAUAGGUAGAGCUGCAAGAGUGGUGGACAUGCAACACAGGGAGGUGAAAGAAGGGAGGAUCAGGAAGGAUGGAGGGAGGUGACAAAGCUAGGAGAAAGGAGGGAGACACCAAGGAAGGUGGCAUGGGAAGAAAGUGAAGUUGUGGCCCAAGGCUAGAGUGUGAUCGUGUAAAAUUGUUACCUUUCCAUCAAUGCUCAGGUUCAUUGUCAUUUUUAAAGUCUGGCACUUGAAGAUCUACACAAUUGUUGUCGAGGAAGAUGAUAAACUCAAUGAGGAUGAUAAUUGGGGUUA